GACGGAGGAUGCAAGUGUUAUCCGGAAUCACUGGGCGUAAAGCGUCUGUAGGUGGUUCAAUAAGUCAACUGUUAAAUCUUGAGGCUCAACUUCAAAAUCGCAGUCGAAACUAUUGGACUCGAGUAUAGUAGGGGUAAAGGGAAUUUCCAGUGGAGCGGUGAAAUGCGUAGAGAUUGGAAAGAACACCGAUGGCGAAGGCACUUUACUGGGCUAUUACUAACACUCAGAGACGAAAGCUAGGGUAGCGAAUGGG
rnacentral:rRNA from 1 species